rnacentral:rRNA from 1 species
UACGGGGGGGGCAAGCGUUGUUCGGAAUUACUGGGCGUAAAGGGCUCGUAGGCGGCCAACUAAGUCGGAUGUGAAAUCCCCAGGCUUAACCUGGGAACUGCAUCCGAUACUGGAUGGCUUGAAUCCGGGAGAGGGAUGCAGAAUUCCAGGUGUAGCGGUGAAAUGCGUAGAUAUCUGGAGGAAUACCGGUGGCGAAGGCGGCAUCCUGGACCGGCAUUGACGCUGAGUGAGCGAAAGCCAGGGGAGCAAAC